CUUAUCGAGAGAAACCGAGGGAAAUGGCCCGAUGACGUUUCAGCAACCCCUGAUGGAUUCAGGAAGGUGCUACUUCCACAAGACUUUGUCUUGAGAGAUAAGA
rnacentral:ncRNA from 1 species